GUGAACGCUGGCGGUAGGCCUAACACAUGCAAGUCGAACGGCAGCACAGUAAGAGCUUGCUCUUACGGGUGGCGAGUGGCGGACGGGUGAGGAAUACAUCGGAAUCUACUUUUUCGUGGGGGAUAACGUAGGGAAACUUACGCUAAUACCGCAUACGACCUACGGGUGAAAGCAGGGGAUCUUCGGACCUUGCGCGAUUGAAUGAGCCGAUGUCGGAUUAGCUAGUUGGCGGGGUAAAGGCCCACCAAGGCGACGAUCCGUAGCUGGUCUGAGAGGAUGAUCAGCCACACUGGAACUGAGACACGGUCCAGACUCCUACGGGAGGCAGCAGUGGGGAAUAUUGGACAAUGGGCGCAAGCCUGAUCCAGCCAUACCGCGUGGGUGAAGAAGGCCUUCGGGUCGUAAAGCCCUUUUGUUGGGAAAGAAAAGCAGCAGGUUAAUACCCCGCUGUUCUGACGGUACCCAAAGAAUAAGCACCGGCUAACUUCGUG
rnacentral:rRNA from 1 species